rnacentral:lncRNA from 10 species
GGGGCGCGCGGGGGCCGGGGUGGGGGUGUCUCGCCGCGCGCGCCCUCCUCCCGCUCCUCCGGGUUCCUGGUCCCCAGCCUGUGGGGGGCUUGGGCUGUAGCGCUGGGGCGGGGGCUUUAGAUCACCCCGAAAACAGGACCUCUGGCGACCUUCUCGUUUUCCACCGGGAGCGGAGAGAGCCGAUCUCCUUUUCCUGCUAGCCCCGUAGGACAGUCCCCGGAGCAGCUCAUAGGAAUAUGACGAACGUUUACUCAGGGCUGGUUACUAUGUACACUGCGCCCCGCGCGCGGCGAGUUUACCUCGGUUCACCUCCCGGCAACCGGCGGCCCGGAUAUUAUCAGAUGCUGUGGGCUUCCCGGCGCCUCAUUGCCCGAGGAGAGGCGGCCGCAGGUAGCUGAGCUGGAGCUAGCACAAGACCUACUCUCCACCCUUUUCCUUCCUGAUUUGAACCUCAAGAGGCCAACCUGCAUGGACUGCUUCCACAGAUCCCUUGUCCUCUGACUUACAGUUGAAUUCACCAAAUAGAAGACAUUGGAAAUGAGACCCGAGGGUUGGAGGAGGAGGAAGCCUGCAAUGUGAACACGAUGGCUGGAGCUCCGGCAGCCAUUCUGGACCAGGAGGUAGCCUUGAAGAUGGAAGCCACAUGUUGGGAUGGUGAAUCCAAAAGAUGAGGAGCCUGUAUCCCCUGUGACACCAGAACUGCCAUACCAGCCCUGGGUUCCUCCAUCUAUACUGCCUUCAUAUGGUAAAGAAAUAUUCUUGGAUCUUGUUAGGUGUCUGUUGCAGCCAAACACAAUCCCAACUGAUAUUCACUGUAAAUGAUUCCAUGGCUCCCUGUAGUACUUCUACAAAGCAUCUAUCACAAUUGUAAUUAAUAAAAUAAUUAUGCAAUUACUGGUUUAAUGCCUAAGUCCCAAGUAGAAUAUCAGUUCCAUGGGGGCAGGGAUUAGUCUGUUCAUGGAUGUAUUCCCAGCUCCUGUAACAACAUCUGGUUCUGGUAGGUGGUAAGUGCACAAUAAAUGUA